rnacentral:rRNA from 1 species
UGGGGGAUAACGCAUCUAAAGAUGUGCUAAUACCGCAUAUUCUCUAAGGAGGAAUCAGGGGAUCGUAAGACCUUGUGCUUUUUGAGCGGCCGAUGCCUGAUUAGCUUGUUGGUGAGGUAAUGGCUUACCAAGGCUACGAUCAGUAUCUGGUCUGAGAGGACGACCAGCCACCCUGGGACUGAGACACGGCCCAAACUCCUACGGGAGGCAGCAGUGGGGAAUUUUGGACAAUGGGCGAAAGCCUGAUCCAGCCAUGCCGCGUGAGUGAAGAAGGCCUUCGGGUUGUAAAGCUCUUUCGGUCGGGAAGAAAUAGUUGCGGCUAAUAUCUGCAAUGAAUGACGGUACCGACAUAAGAAGCACCGGCUAACUACGUGCCAUCGGCCGCGGUAAUACGUAGGGUGCAAGCGUUAAUCGGAAUUAUUGGGCGUAAAGGGUGCGCAGGUGGUUAUAUAAGUCACAUGUGAAAUCCCUGGGCUUAACCUAAGAAUUGCGUUUGAAACUAUAUAACUAGAGUGUGACAGAGGGGAGUGGAAUUCCAUGUGUAGCAGUGAAAUGCGUAGAGAUGUGGAAGAACACCGAUGGCGAAGGCAGCUCCCUGGGUUAACACUGACACUCAUGCACGAAAGCGUGGGGAGCAAACAGGAUUAGAUACUCUGGUAGUCCACGCCCUAAACGAUGUCAACUAGUUGUCGGAUCUAUAUAAAGAUUAGGUAAUGUAGCUAACGCGUGAAGUUGACCGCCUGGGAAGUACGGUCGCAAGAUUAAAACUCAAAGGAAUUGACGGGGACCCGCACAAGCGGUGGAUUAUGUGGAUUAAUUCGAUGCAACGCGAAAAACCUUACCUACCCUUGACAUGCUCGAAAUUUUGCAGAGAUGUGAAAGUGCCCGAAAGGGAAUCGAGACACAGGUGCUGCAUGGCUGUCGUCAGCUCGUGUCGUGAGAUGUUGGGUUAAGUCCCGCAACGAGCGCAACCCUUGUCAUUAAUUGCCAUCAUUAAGUUGGGCACUUUAAUGAGACUUCCGGUGACAAACCGGAGGAAGGUGGGGAUGACCUCAAGUCCUCAUGCCCCUUAUGGGUAGGUCUUCACACGUAAUACAAUGGCGCGUACAGAGGGUUGCCAACCCGCGAGGGGGAGCUAAUCUCAUAAAGCGCUUCGUAGUCCGGAUCGGAGUCU